AGUGAACGCUGGCGGUAGGCCUAACACAUGCAAGUCGAACGGCAGCACAGUAAGAGCUUGCUCUUACGGGUGGCGAGUGGCGGACGGGUGAGGAAUACAUCGGAAUCUACUUUUUCGUGGGGGAUAACGUAGGGAAACUUACGCUAAUACCGCAUACGACCUACGGGUGAAAGCAGGGGAUCUUCGGACCUUGCGCGAUUGAAUGAGCCGAUGUCGGAUUAGCUAGUUGGCGGGGUAAAGGCCCACCAGGGCGACGAUCCGUAGCUGGUCUGAGAGGAUGAUCAGCCACACUGGAACUGAGACACGGUCCAGACUCCUACGGGAGGCAGCAGUGGGGAAUAUUGGACAAUGGGCGCAAGCCUGAUCCAGCCAUACCGCAUGGGUGAAGAAGGCCUUCGGGUUGUAAAGCCCUUUUGUUGGGAAAGAAAAGCAGCAGGUUAAUACCCCGCUGUUCUGACGGUACCCAAAGAAUAAGCACCGGCUAACUUCGUG
rnacentral:rRNA from 1 species